UAUUCGUCACCUCAGACUCUUGCUGACCAGUCAUCUAAAAUUAAAAAGGGCAGCAAAGGAGACACCAGUAUGCUCAGACCAACACUGAUGGCAGCCGUACCUGAGAUAAUGGACCGUAUCUAUAAGAAUGUGAUGACUAAAGUUGAAGAGAUG